rnacentral:rRNA from 1 species
ACAGGUGCUGCAUGGCUGUCGUCAGCUCGUGUCGUGAGAUGUUGGGUUAAGCCCGCACGAGCGCAACCUUGCCUUUAGUUGCCAGCAGUUCGGCUGGGCACUCUAAAGGGACCGCCGGUGUUAAACCGGAGGAAGGUGGGGAUGACGUCAAGUCCUCAUGGCCUUUAUGACCAGGGCUACACACGUACUACAAUGGCCGAUACAAAGGGCAGCGACACUGCGAGGUGAAGCCAAUCCCGUAAAAUCGGUCUCAGUCCGGAUUGGAGUCUGCAACUCGACUCCAUGAAGUUGGAAUCGCUAGUAAUCGUGGAUCAGCAUGCCACGGUGAAUACGUUCCCGGGCCUU